CCGCGCCCUCCCGCGGGCGCCCGGGAGCCCUGUAGGCGCGUCCCUCCGGCCCGCGACAGAGAGGCCCCGCGAGCAGACCGUUUGCCUGCAUAUAUGUGCACCACACGUGGGAAGGAGUCUGAGGAGACCAGAAUAGGGUGUCAUGUGCCCUGGGACGGAGUUACAUACAGGAUCCCACAGUGGAAGAAGAGAACGAACGGACUCCCAAAACUUGUCUUCUGAUAGGAAACCACGGAGACCAAGGAGCAGCUCGUGGGGGAGGGGUCUGUCAAGGAGAGGAAAGCCAGGGCCCAAUCCCAAGUGUCAAGGCAGAGGUUUUCAUGAGGAAGCAGGCCAGUGGUGCGGGGAGAGCAGUCUCCUAGGGUGGCUGUAUCCAACCUGAGACUGGAAGAGGAGUCAGGAGGUCUCCAGAGGCCUUGGAGGGCCUUUGCAGGGCCUGCAGCCGCCGGUGUCCUUGCUGGUUCCUGCUCACCCAAGCCCAGCCCCCACCCCUCUUCUACUCAGAACACACGCUGCUGCCACCGCUGCCACUGCCACCGCCACGGCCGCCGGCUUCUCUCACCCACUCUCACCCGCUUCCACCUCAAGGCUUCCACUUCCAGCCUUGGUUUUCCUUGGCCUCGUCUCACGGCGAGUUAAGCCAUCAGCGAGCGAGUUAAGUCAUCAGCGAGCGAGUUAAGUCAUCAGCGAGCGAGUUAAGCCAUCAGCGAGCGUGUUAAAUAAGCCAGGUCCCACCGCUCUUCCCCUCGACAGCCUGCUGAGGCUCCAUCCAAGCAGAGAAGAAACAGGAGCCUUGGGCUCCCCACAGCCGGACCGAUCCACACCUCCUCUACCUCUCUCAACUUUAUCUCCGGGCUAGCACACUCCUGCCUGGAGGAGGGCCUCUCUGCCACCUCUCUCAUCCCAUCUAGUUCCUGAAAACCACACUGACACUUCCCCCCACCCCGUAGCCCACCCUUGCCAACACAGACUGCUUCUCCUCUGUUCCCGCUGCCACUUAACAAGUAUGUCUUUACUUCUUUCCCUUUCUUCCAUUAUAGCAGAAAUGCCAACAUUUGUCUGUUUAGUGGCCUGGGCCUGGGCCAGGGCCAGGCACGGAGUAGGUGUUCAAUAAAUAAUAAAUGUCCGUUA